rnacentral:rRNA from 1 species
AUUGAACGCUGGCGGCAUGCCUUACACAUGCAAGUCGAACGGCAGCACGGGGGCAACCCUGGUGGCGAGUGGCGAACGGGUGAGUAACGCAUCGGAACGUGCCCAGUAGUGGGGGAUAACCAGUCGAAAGACUGGCUAAUACCGCAUACGACCUACGGGUGGAAGCGGUGGACCGUAAGGCCUCGCGCCAUUGGAGCAGCCGAUGUCUGAUUAGGUAGUUGGCGGGGUAAGAGCCCACCAAGGCGACGAUCAGUAGCUGGUCUGAGAGGUGCGACCAGCCACACUGGGACUGACACACGGCCCAGACUCCUACGGGAGGCAGCAGUGGGGAAUUUUGGACAAUGGGCGCAAGCCUGAUCCAGCCAUGCCGCGUGCGGGAAGAAGGCCUUCGGGUUGUAAACCGCUUUUGGCAGGAACGAAACGGCGCAAGCCAAUACCUUGCGCUAAUGACGGUACCUGCAGAAUAAGCACCGGCUAACUACGUGCCAGCAGCCGCCGUAAUAC